rnacentral:lncRNA from 1 species
GUCGACAAGUGUGUCUACUCGACUAACGAAGAAUGAAGCAACACUUGUGACUCUGGAGAGAUCACUUAGCCCAGAAGCCUCAAGGCCAUCAAGGUAAGCAUCAAUGACUGCUUCAUAUCUUGAAAGAGAAAAGAUAAGCUGUGCGUACACAUAGGAUCUACUUCAGUAUUCAAGAAACAGAUAAAGUACAAAAAGGAAAAUGAAAACAUGAAACAUUUAAAAAGAAAAACUGAAUGACGGUUCUUUAAACAUCAAAGAUAUAAUUCUUCAUUCACUAAUUAAUUCCUAUGCAAAUAUCUCUCUUAAGCACCAGUAGACAAGCAACCUUCAAUCUCAUGCAUGAACUGUCAAGUUGUCAACAAAGGCGACAAUGAAUCAACUUACCGUCACAUUGACACUUAUUCCAAGUGAAAUGACUUCCUUGAUGGAAGGAAUGCAUGGAGCAGUAGCAGG